UUAAUUGGAGAUAUCAGGGGUGUUUAGGGGGUAUUAAAGGGUUAAUUCCGACUUAUGCGGAAAUUCAGGUUACGUCGCCAUCAUAGGAACGGAACUCGUUCGUAACCCGAGGACCUCCUGUACAAGUUUCAA